GUGGGGAAUUUUGGACAAUGGGCGCAAGCCUGAUCCAGCAAUGCCGCGUGCAGGAAGAAGGCCUUCGGGUUGUAAACUGCUUUUGUACGGAACGAAACGGUCCUGGCUAAUACCUGGGGCUAAUGACGGUACCGUAAGAAUAAGCACCGGCUAACUACGUGCCAGCAGCCGCGGUAAUACGUAGGGUGCGAGCGUUAAUCGGAAUUACUUGGCGUAAAGCGUGCGCAGGCGGUGCUGUAAGACAGGCGUGAAAUCCCCGGGCUCAACCUGGGAAUUGCGCUUGUGACUGCAGUGCUGGAGUGCGGCAGAGGGGGAUGGAAUUCCGCGUGUAGCAGUGAAAUGCGUAGAUAUGCGGAGGAACACCGAUGGCGAAGGCAAUCCCCUGGGCCUGCACUGACGCUCAUGCACGAAAGCGUGGGGAGCAAACAGGAUUAGAUACCCUUGUAGUCC
rnacentral:rRNA from 1 species